ensembl:lncRNA
AAAGAUGAUGCGCACAGGCUUGGAUGGAGACAUACUGUGUUGCAAGGAAUAGAAAACUGUAAGUAGUGAAGGAGAGUCUCUGCUGACAGAGGAAAAGCCUACGGAUGUGCCUUGCAUUGCAGCAUGUCGGCAUCCUCAAUACCUGUGCUGGUUUUCCCAAGGGAAGAACUGAACACCUGGAAAGGAGAACAGGCUCCUGAGGUUGUGCAAAUGGCAGCUGAUUUCUUUAGGUGUUUUUAAAAGAUAUUGUCCAAGGGAGACUUUAUUGGUAUAUCUGGGGACUUUUUUGAGUUUUUGACAUACUCAGAAGCAGUUUGAAAGAAGAAAUAGUAUAUAAAAUGCAACCUGGCAAAGAGGUUUGAAGGGGAACUGCUGCUGGAAAAGAGUACAGCAUGAGCAGGACAGAGCAGCCACCAUCCUGCUCCCUGCCUCCCUCACCCUGAAUGCCAACAUCCUCCCUGCCCCUGCCCGGCCCUUGCAGUUGUCCUUACACUGAUGCACUGCCUUGUCCACUGCACCCAUCCUUGGUGCUUAAUGUGCAGUGACAGGAGCUCUCAUUUUUGAAGGUCUAAAAGCCCUGCUUUCAGGAAUUGUGUGUAAAGCAUUUCUUUUAAAAGUGAAGGGGAAAAAAAAAAAGCAAACAUUUGUUGUUGUUUGUUGUUUUACUCUCAAGGCUAUUGAUAAAAGCUUAGAUAGAUGUGAGAGUAACUCGCUUACUGGUUCUGGAUGUGUUUAUUUUGAAUGGAAUAUAAAAUCCAUCCUCAAAUAUUUCAAGGCACAUUUUAUAACAGACAUUUGUCUACUGAAAUGAUUGUAAAAGGAAAAAUAAUGGAAUAAUCUUUUCUUUAUUUUUAAUCAGGUCUCUCUUCAAUCUAUAACAAUAUUCCAAUUAAUGACUUGACCUAUUAUAUCAUUCUGUUAUAUGCUAAUAGACUUAAUAUACUCCAUUUUCAAAAGUGCUUUCCAAGGUUAUUGUAUCAAUUAUUCUUAUUAAUACUCUUCUGAUGGUCCUAUGGGCUGGAUUGAGAUAAUUUAAGGCUUGUUAUCUCUGUAUCUCCUUAACCAUUUAAAAUCAGGCUAUGUAGAUGCUAUUUUUUUUGAAUGUUAUUACAGGCACGUUGAAUUGUGUGUUACCAAAACCCUUCUGCUAUAAUACUGUCAAAAGAAAGUAAUGCCAUGUUUAGCUGUAUGUUGAACAAACUAAUGGAUGCAAAAGAAAUUGUAAUGUGGUAAAUAAUCUUCUGUCUACUAUAAUUAAGGAUGUAGAUGAAAAGAGGAAGAUUACUUACCUACUAGCAUGAAAGGAAAUGACCGUGAAUGAAAAUAAAUUGUGGGCAGCCCUCCCCAACCAAAAGGACUGUUCCUCGGUCUCUCCUGCUGUCACCAGACAGCGAGAUAUGGGUAUCAUCAUGAAACCAAGCUUCUUAGAUUGCACCAUCGACCUACCAUCUCGUUAUGCUGCAUUAGCAAAUUAUUCUUCAUUCAGAUGUUGGAAAGUACUGAUGUGGCAUUUCCUUGGCUGAUGUGACCUGGUGUAGGUCUGUGGAUGUAUCAUGUUGUAUCAAAUUGUGGUAACAGAAUUUCAUGAAAAGUGAGAAAUAUUUAAAUGAUUCAAUACCUAACACUGUGUAACUACAAAAUGAGCUCCCUUCAUCCUCUCUGCCCUGCCUUUUAGGAGCGUUUGUAGGACAUUCGUUACCCAGAACCGUGGUCACAGCAAACACUGUCUUUCAUAGGAAAACUGACAGAUAGGUGGAGAAUAAUUUCAGGUGGGCAUAGGUCAGUAUGAGAUCUUUUCUGUGUAUUUGACAUAAUGUAUAUUGGAGAGUGGUGAAUGACCUAUCUUGUGUGCAAGCCACAAAGACUGUAUCAAUGUGGUGCCAAAACCAAACUGAAAUAAAAAUUGCAUCUCAUCUUUAUUAAUGGAUUUCUGCCACCUGCAACGAUAAUCUUUCUCUAGAAAGAGGCAGAGAUGGAGAACAUAAAACCUGGAGAAAGGGUCCAAAGUAAUCCCUUUCCCACCAUGCAGAGGAGCUAAAGAUGAGCUUGGUUCUGGUUUAUGCAUACUAUGUUAUAAAGCAGUGGAGGACAUAGGGACUUCUAUUGACAGAUGUAGGAGGUUGAAUAUGCUUCAUCCUUCUCUGACAUCUCACUUGGUCUGAUCUCGUCUCUAUAUUCUCUCCCAUACCUGUUCUCCAAGCUUCAGUCACGUGGGACUACUUUUCUGCAUUUUCUUGCUCUGCGGUUUCUGUACCGCUUCAAAAUCUCAGGUGAAAUAAACUUUUCUUCUGAC